AUCCAGCUGACGAGUCCCAAAUACAGUCCCAAAUAGGACGAAAUGCGCAUCCUGGAU
rnacentral:hammerhead_ribozyme from 1 species